rnacentral:rRNA from 1 species
CCUACGGGAGGCAGCAGUGGGGAAUAUUGGGCAAUGGGCGCAAGCCUGACCCAGCAACGCCGCGUGAAGGAAGAAGGCUUUCGGGUUGUAAACUUCUUUUCUCAGGGACGAAGCAAGUGACGGUACCUGAGGAAUAAGCCACGGCUAACUACGUGCCAGCAGCCGCGGUAAUACGGAGGUGGCAAGCGUUAUCCGGAUUUACUGGGUGUAAAGGGCGGGUAGGCGGAACUGCAAGUCAGAUGUGAAAACUUCGGGCUCAACCUGUAGUCUGCAUUUGAAACUGUAGUUCUUGUGUACUGGAGAGGCAGACGGAAUGCCUAGUGUAGCGGUGAAAUGCGUAGAUAUUAGGAGGAACACCAGUGGCGAAGGCGGUCUGCUGGACAGCAACUGACGCUGAGGCGCGAAAGCGUGGGGAGCAAACAGGAUUAGAUACCCGUGUAGUC